rnacentral:lncRNA from 1 species
AGGGCAGCAGAGAGGAAGACAUGGUCGAUUUCACAAUGACAAAACAUCAAGAACACCUUCCAUGACAAAGACUGACCAGGUGAAUCCAGGUGAAAGCUAUGAUCCCUUAUUGAUGUCACUUGUUAAAUCCACUUCAAUCAGUGUAGAUGAAGGGGAGGGUUAAAGAAGGAUUGAAACAAUUGAGGCAUGGAUUGUGUAUGUGUGCCAUUCAGAGGGUGAAUGGGCAAGACAAAAUAUUUAAGUGCCUUUGAACGGGGUAUGGUAGUAGGUGCCAGGCACACCGGUUUGUGUCAAGAACUGCAUCGCUGCUGGGUUUUUCACGCUUAACAGUUUCCCGUGUGUAUCAAGCAUGGCCACCACUCAAAGGACAUCCAGCCAACUUGACAACCGUGGGAAGCAUUGGAGUCAACAUGGGCCAGCAUUCCUGUGGAACGCUUUCAACACCUUGUAGAGGCCAUGCCACAACGAAUUGAGGCUGUUCUGAGGGUAAGGGGGGUGGGGUGGGGUUUAGAAUACUAAUGUUUAGUAUACUCAGUGUAGUUGUUAGUAGACUAAGGGCUUUGUAGACAGACCAUGGUAGUUGAUAGUAGACUAAGGGCUUUGUAGACAGACCAUGGUAGUUGUUAGUAGACUAAGGGCUUUGUAGGCAGACCAUGGUAGUUGUUAGUAGACUAAGGGCUUUGUAGACAGACCAUGGUAGUUGUUAGUAGACUAAGGGUUUGUAGACAGACCAUGGUAGUUGAUAGUAGACUAAGGGCUUUGUAGACAGACCAUGGUAGUUGAUAGUAGACUAAGGGCUUUGUAGACAGACCAUGGUAGUUGUGAGUAGACUAAGGGCUUUGUAGACAGACCAUGGUAGUUGUUAGUAGACUAAGGGUUUGUAGACAGACCAUGGUAGUUGAUAGUAGACUAAGGGCUUUGUAGACAGACCAUGGUAGUUGAUAGUAGACUAAGGGCUUUGUAGACAGACCAUGGUAGUUGUUAGUAGACUAAGGGCUUUGUAGACAGACCAUGCUAGUUGUUAGUAGACUAAGGGCUUUGAUUCGGAUUCUCUCUCUUUCCUUCCUUAGUUUAUCUCUCCCUCUCUGUCAUGAUUAUCCCAAGGAACCUGACUUCACAAGUUCCCAUCCGCAUGUGAUGUCACUAGCCUGCUGUCCUCCUCUUGUGCUCCCCCGCCCCACCUCCUCUGCUGCUGUCCUCCUCUUGUCCCCCUGCCCCACCUCACCUCCUCUGCUGCUGUCCUCCUCUUGUCCUCUCCCGCCCCACCCCACCCCACCUCCUCUGCUGCUGUCCUCCUCUUGUCCCCCUGCCCCACCCCACCUCCUCUUCUGCUGUCCUCCUCUUGUCCUCUCUCACCCCUCCUCCUCUGCUGCUGUCCUCCUCUUGUCCUCUCCAGCCCCACCUCCUCUGCUGCUGUCCUCCUCUUGUCCCCCUGCCCCACCCCACCUCCUCUGCUGCUGUCCUCCUCUUGUCCUCUCCCACCCCUCCACCUCUGCUGCUGUCCUCCUCUUGUCCUCUCCCACCCCUCCUCCUCUGCUGCUGUCCUCCUCUUGUCCUCUCCAGCCCCACCUCCUCUGCUGCUGUCCUCCUCUUGUCCUCUCCCACCCCACCUCCUCUGCUGCUGUCCUCCUCUUGUCCUCUCCCGCCCCACCCCACCUCCUCUGCUGCUGACCACCUCUUGUCCCCCCUGCCCUGCCCCACCUCCUCUGCUGCUAUCCUCCUCUUGUCCCCCCUGCCCCGCCUCCUCUGCUGCUAUCCUCCUCUUGUCCUCUCCCGCCCACCUCCUCUGCUGCUGUCCUCCUCUUGUUCCCCCCCACUCCAUCUCCCACCCCCGUCUGCAGUGACAUCAGUGUGCCUCUCUUUCUCUGCAGUGACAUCAGCAGGCCUCUCUUUGUUUGGGCACAAAGACUGCGCAGGAGUCUGUUUUCAGGAGGAAUAAAGACAGAAGUCUUUUCAGAAAGGAAUAAAGACAGGUCUCUGUUUUCAGAAAGGAAUAAAGACAGGAUUCUGUUUUCAGGAGGAAUAAAGACAGGAUUCUGUUUUCAGGAGGAAUAAAGACGGGUCUCUGUUUUCAGAAAGGAAUAAAGACAGGAUUCUGUUUUCAGGAGGAAUAAAGACAGGAUUCUGUUUUCAGGAGGAAUAAAGACAGGAGUCUGUUUUCAGAAAGGAAUAAAGACAGGUCUCUGUUUUCAGAAAGGAAUAAAGACAGGUCUCUGUUUUCAGAAGGAAUAAAGACAGGAGUCUGUUUUCAGG